GACGAACGCUGGCGGCGUGCCUAAUACAUGCAAGUCGAGCGAACCAAUAAGAAGCUUGCUUUUUGUUGGUUAGCGGCGGACGGGUGAGUAACACGUGGGUAACCUGCCUGUAAGACCGGGAUAACUCCGGGAAACCGGUGCUAAUACCGGAUAGAUUAUCUUUCCGCAUGGAGAGAUAAGGAAAGAUGGCUAUUGCCAUCACUUACAGAUGGGCCCGCGGCGCAUUAGCUAGUUGGUGAGGUAACGGCUCACCAAGGCGACGAUGCGUAGCCGACCUGAGAGGGUGAUCGGCCACACUGGGACUGAGACACGGCCCAGACUCCUACGGGAGGCAGCAGUAGGGAAUCUUCCGCAAUGGACGAAAGUCUGACGGAGCAACGCCGCGUGAGCGAAGAAGGUCUUCGGAUCGUAAAGCUCUGUUGUUAGGGAAGAACAAGUAUCGGAGGAAAUGCCGGUACCUUGACGUUACCUGACGAGAAAGCCACGGCUAACUACGUG
rnacentral:rRNA from 1 species